CGAACGAUUGAAAUAUGCUUUAAAAUUUUCAACAUUAGCGAAAAGAAUAAUGUAGGUUCCUAUGUAAUACUGUCUGAUAAAGCAUACGUUGUGGUGUUUUUGAAUUAAGCGGCCGUCGCUGGAUACCAGGUGAGCGUGCGCCGGCGCAGUCAGCGACGCACUUUUCUUCCCAAUCGCUCAGUGCAACAGCGGCACUAGCAGAGAACGAACUCGAGACCUCGCGGAUCCGCGACUCCGACAGUGAACUGUGAACUUACGAACUCUGUGCAUAGUAAUCUGUGAUUGUGUUUUCUUUAAAUAUAUAUUUUCGAAAGGAGCUGUUACUUUUUCG
rnacentral:lncRNA from 1 species